GAUGAAGAACGUAGCGAAAUGCGAUAAGUAAUGUGAAUUGCAGAAUUCAGUGAAUCAUCGAAUCUUUGAACGCACAUUGCGCCCCCUGGUAUUCCGGGGGGCAUGCCUGUCCGAGCGUCAUUACAACCCUCAAGCUCAGCUUGGUAUUGGGCCCCGCCGCUUCGGCGGGCCCUAAAGUCAGUGGCGGUGCCGUCCGGCUCCGAGCGUAGUAAUUCUUCUCGCUCUGGAGGCCCGGUCGUGUGCUUGCCAGCAACCCCCAAUUUUUUUCAGGUUGACCUCGGAUCAGGUAGGGAUACCCGCUGAACUUAAGCAUAUCAAUAAGCGGAGGA
rnacentral:misc_RNA from 1 species